UGCCGGGUCGUCUAAUGGUAGGACAACGGACUUUGAAUCCGUUAAUCGGGGUUCGAUCCCCUGCCCGGCAG
rnacentral:tRNA from 1 species